rnacentral:rRNA from 1 species
GACGAACGCUGGCGGCAUGCCUUACACAUGCAAGUCGAACGGUAACAGGUCUUCGGACGCUGACGAGUGGCGAACGGGUGAGUAAUACAUCGGAACGUGCCCGAUCGUGGGGGAUAACGAAGCGAAAGCUUUGCUAAUACCGCAUACGAUCUACGGAUGAAAGCAGGGGACCGCAAGGCCUUGCGCGAACGGAGCGGCCGACGGCAGAUUAGGUAGUUGGUGGGAUAAAAGCUUACCAAGCCGACGGUCUGUAGCUGGUCUGAGAGGACGACCAGCCACACUGGGACUGAGACACGGCCCAGACUCCUACGGGAGGCAGCAGUGGGGAAUUUUGGACAAUGGGCGAAAGCCUGAUCCAGCCAUGCCGCGUGCAGGAUGAAGGCCCUCGGGUUGUAAACUGCUUUUGUACGGAACGAAAAGACUCUGGUUAAUACCUGGGGUCCAUGACGGUACCGUAAGAAUAAGCACCGGCUAACUACGUGCCAGCCGCCGCAGUAA